CAAACGGCCCUUUUAAGGGCCAUCCUCUGGUGUUAUGUUACUGUA
rfam:Strongylocentrotus purpuratus Contig21068_fixed, whole genome shotgun sequence.